rnacentral:lncRNA from 1 species
UCAAGAACAGGAUAUUAGGUUAGGCAUAUCGUCAUUAUCUUUUGAGGUCAGAUCCCACAAUUGAAGUCCCUUUUUUCUCAUAUCACUCUAUCUACUUCAAAUCAUGUAGACUUCUACGGCUAUAUUCAAGAAUUUAGAGAGUAUUUUUGCACGAUUCUUCGGAAUUUUAAGGACCAAGCGUGUAGAUCACUCUAGAGGAGACGGUAAAAUCUUUGCCUUUCUCCUGAUGAGGGUGGACAAGGCUUCACAAGAUUGCAUGACAUGGUUAGUACUUUCUCGCUAAAUUUUGGUGGCUUUUCCAUUCACAGAGAUCAUUGUAGGCUCAAUUCUUAUUGGGCAAAUAUUUAUGGGGACUCACCCUCUACUUGCAUCUGUUCCAUAUUCAGUUCACGUAUUUGGAAUGGAUGAAGUUGGUUGGAGCACAUGCCUGUUGGAUG